ACGAACGCUGGCGGCGUGCCUAAUACAUGCAAGUCGAACGGUCUUUCUAUGGAAGCUUGCUUCCACUGAGAAGAUAGUGGCGAACGGGUGAGUAACACGUGGGUAACCUGCCCAUAAGAGGGGGAUAACAUCCGGAAACGGGUGCUAAUACCGCAUAGUUUUCUUGAUCGCAUGAUCGGGAAAGGAAAGACGGCCUUUGUGCUGUCGCUUAUGGAUGGACCCGCGGCGUAUUAGUUAGUUGGUGAGGUAACGGCUCACCAAGACGAUGAUACGUAGCCGACCUGAGAGGGUGAUCGGCCACAUUGGGACUGAGACACGGCCCAAACUCCUACGGGAGGCAGCAGUAGGGAAUCUUCCGCAAUGGACGAAAGUCUGACGGAGCAACGCCGCGUGAGUGAAGAAGGUUUUUCCGGAUCGUAAAACUCUGUUGUCAGAGAAGAACAAGCUGGAGAGUAACUGCUCCAGCCUUGACGGUAUCUGACCAGAAAGCCACGGCUAACUACGUGCCAGCCGCCGC
rnacentral:rRNA from 1 species